rnacentral:rRNA from 1 species
UCUGGUUGAUCCUGCCAGUAGUCAUAUGCUUGUCUCAAAGAUUAAGCCAUGCAUGUCUAAGUAUAAAUAGUAUACAGUGAAACUGCGAAUGGCUCAUUAAAACAGUUAUAGUUUAUUUGAUAAUUGACAAUUACAUGGAUAACCGUGGUAAUUCUAGAGCUAAUACAUGCUUAAACGCCCGACUUUAUGGAAGGGUGGUAUUUAUUAGACUGAAGCCAAUAUUCCUUGUGUCUAUUGCGGUGAUUCAUAAUAACUGAUCGAAUCUCUUUUUGAGAUAAAUCAUUCAAGUUUCUGCCCUAUCAGCUUUCGAUGGUAGUGUAUUGGACUACCAUGGCAGUAACGGGUAACGAAGAAUUAGGGUUCGAUUUCGGAGAGGGAGCAUGAGAAACGGCUACCACAUCUAAGGAAGGCAGCAGGCGCGUAAAUUACCCAAUCCUGACUCAGGGAGGUAGUGACAAGAAAUAGCAAACCGGGAACCUCAUGGUUUCACGGUAUUGCAAUGAGAACAACUUAAAACCCUUAGCGAGAAUCAAGUGGAGGACAAGUCUGGUGCCAGCACCCGCGGUAAUUCCAGCUCCACUAGCGUAUAUUAAAGUUGUUGCAGUUAAAAAGCUCGUAGUUGAACCUCUGUCUGGGGCUAGUUUUGGCUUUGGUCAGGCUAGUUCUAGGCAUCCGCCUACAAGACUUAGAGGGCAUUCAGUUGUUCACUAGGAGGAGUAGGCAUUUUACUUUGAAAAAAUUAGAGUGUUUAAGGCAGGCAAUCGCCCGCAUAUAUUAGCAUGGAAUAAUAGAAUAGGACACUUUUCCAUUUCGUUGGUUAUUGGAAUCGUGUAAUGAUUAAUAGGGACAGUUGUGGGCAUUUGUAUUUAAUUGUCAGAGGUGAAAUUCUUGGAUUUAUUAAAGACAAACUAACGCGAAAGCAUUUGCCAAGGAUGUUUUCAUUAAUCAAGAACGAAAGUUAGGGGAUCAAAGACGAUCAGAUACCGUCCUAGUCUUAACUAUAAACUAUUCCGACUCAACGUUUGACUGGCUUAUAUAACCAGUUGAGCGUUGUAUGAGAAAUCAAAGUCUUUAGGUUCUGGGGGGAGUAUGGUUGCAAAGCUGAAACUUAAAGGAAUUGACGGAAGAGCACAACCAGGAGUGGAUCCUGCGGCUUAAUUUGACUCAACACGGGGAAACUUACCAGGUUAAAACAAUAGUGGGAUUGACAGUUUGAGAGCGCUUUCUUGAUUGGUUGGGUGGUGGUGCAUGGCCGUUCUUAGUUGGUGGAGUGAUUUGUCUGCUUAAUUGCGUUAACGAACGAGGAAAG